UCGCAAGGUGUCCAUAAUACCAACUGAUGCUGAGGGUUACUCCACAAGGCUUCUUAAAUCAGCAUCCCACAAUGAAAAAAACAUAGUGUUUGUAGUUCCACUACAGGAGAAGCUAUCUACUGAACCUCUUUCCAGUGAUUCAGUAGAGUUUGCCAAAAUGCCACAGCCUAAAUGCAUCACAUGUGGCACUCAAAUGCCUUUGCAGCUGUUACCAUUGCAUGUUGAGGGAUGCAAUGGCACAUUGACUGAGAGUGCAGCUGGGACACCUAUCGAAGAUUGUUCAGUUCUUGAGCAACCAGUGCCAUCUGUCAUAGCCUUGGAGGAAUCCUUAGGGGGUUCCCCAAUCUGUUUUGGAUUUUACCCAGCUGAUGUUAUCUCAUGCAAGCACAUAUGGUGAUGACAG